GACGAACGCUGGCGGCGUGCCUAAUACAUGCAAGUCGAGCGAAUGGAUUAAGAGCUUGCUCUUAUGAAGUUAGCGGCGGACGGGUGAGUAACACGUGGGUAACCUGCCCAUAAGACUGGGAUAACUCCGGGAAACCGGGGCUAAUACCGGAUAACAUUUUGAACCGCAUGGUUCGAAAUUGAAAGGCGGCUUCGGCUGUCACUUAUGGAUGGACCCGGGUCGCAUUAGCUAGCUGGUGAGGUAACGGCUCACCAAGGCAACGAUGCGUAGCCGACCUGAGAGGGUGAUCGGCCACACUGGGACUGAGACACGGCCCAGACUCCUACGGGAGGCAGCAGUAGGGAAUCUUCCGCAAUGGACGAAAGUCUGACGGAGCAACGCCGCGUGAGUGAUGAAGGCUUUCGGGUCGUAAAACUCUGUUGUUAGGGAAGAACAAGUGCUAGUUGAAUAAGCUGGCACCUUGACGGUACCUAACCAGAAAGCCACGGCUAACUACGUGCCAGCAGCCGCGGUAA
rnacentral:rRNA from 1 species